rnacentral:rRNA from 1 species
AUUGAACGCUGGCGGCAGGCCUAACACAUGCAAGUCGAGCGGAUGAGAGGAGCUUGCUUCUCGAUUCAGCGGCGGACGGGUGAGUAAUGCCUAGGAAUCUGCCUGGUAGUGGGGGACAACGUUUCGAAAGGAACGCUAAUACCGCAUACGUCCUACGGGAGAAAGCAGGGGACCCUCGGGCCUUGCGCUAUCAGAUGAGCCUAGGUCGGAGUAGCUAGUUGGUGAGGUAAUGGCCCACCAAGGCGACGAUCCGUAACUGGUCUGAGAGGAUGAUCAGUCACACUGGAACUGAGACACGGUCCAGACUCCUACGAGAGGCAGCAGUGGGGAAUAUUGGACAAUGGGCGAAAGCCUGAUCCAGCCAUGCCGCGUGUGUGAAGAAGGUCUUCGGAUUGUAAAGCACUUUAAGUUGGGAGGAAGGGUUGUAGAUUAAUACUCUGCAAUUUUGACGUUACCGACAGAAUAAGCACCGGCUAACUCUGUGCCAGCCGCCGCGGCAAGAC